rnacentral:rRNA from 1 species
GACAGAGGAUGCAAGCGUUAUCCGGAAUUACUGGGCGUAAAGCGCGCGUAGGCGGCUUUGCAAGUCGGGUGUGAAAUCCCCAGGCUUAACCUGGGAACUGCAUUCGAGACUGCAUUGCUAGAGUAUGGGAGAGGGAAGUGGAAUUUCCGGUGUAGCGGUGAAAUGCGUAGAUAUCGGAAGGAACAUCAGUGGCGAAAGCGACUUCCUGGACCAAUACUGACGCUCAUGUGCGAAAGCGUGGGGAGCAAACAGG